rnacentral:rRNA from 1 species
GAUGAACGCUGGCGGCGUGCCUAAUACAUGCAGGUCGAGCGAACGGACGAGAAGCUUGCUUCUCUGAUGUUAGCGGCGGACGGGUGAGUAACACGUGGAUAACCUACCUAUAAGACUGGGAUAACUUCGGGAAACCGGAGCUAAUACCGGAUGAUAUUUUGAACCGCAUGGUUCAAAAGUGAAAGACGGUCUUGCUGUCACUUAUAGAUGGAUCCGCGCUGCAUUAGCUAGUUGGUAAGGUAAUGGCUUACCAAGGCAACGAUGCAUAGCCGACCUGAGAGGGUGAUCGGCCACACUGGAACUGAGACACGGUCCAGACUCCUACGGGAGGCAGCAGUAGGGAAUCUUCCGCAAUGGGCGAAAGCCUGACGGAGCAACGCCGCGUGAGUGAUGAAGGUCUUCGGAUCGUAAAACUCUGUUAUUAGGGAAGAACAUAUGUGUAAGUAACUGUGCACAUCUUGACGGUACCUAAUCAGAAAGCCACGGCUAACUACGUG